rnacentral:rRNA from 1 species
UAUUAGUUAUUUUCUUUUAAAACCUAAAGAUUUUGGCGGUAUUUUAGUCUUUUCAGAGGAAUUUGCCCCUUAAUCGAUAGUCCUCGUUUUAUCUAGCUUUAUUUGUAUGGUAUGUAUACCGCCGUUAUAAGAUUAUUUUAUUAGAAUUAAUUUUCUUUAUUCAUUAUUGUGAUUUAUUUCAGGUCAAGGUGCAGCUUAUAAUUAAGUGUUAAGGUGAAUUACAAUAUUAUUUGAGUAUACGGAUUUUAUUUUUAAAAUAUUAAUUAAGGUGGAUUUGAUAGUAAUUUUA